UACGAAGGGGGCUAGCGUUGUUCGGAUUUACUGGGCGUAAAGCGCACGUAGGCGGACUAUUAAGUCAGGGGUGAAAUCCCGGGGCUCAACCCAGGAACUGCACCUGAAACUACCAGUCUUGAGUGGUGGAGAGGGAAGUGGAAUUCCUGGUGUAGAGGUGAAAUUCGUAGAUAUCAGGAGGAACACCAGUGGCGAAGGCGGCUUCCUGGACACUAACUGACGCUGAGACGCGAAAGCGUGGGGAGCAAACAGG
rnacentral:rRNA from 1 species